UACGUGGGGGGCUAGCGUUGUCCGGAAUCAUUGGGCGUAAAGCGCGUGUAGGCGGUCCGGUAAGUCCGCUGUGAAAGUCGGGGGCUCAACCCUCGAAAGCCGGUGGAAACUGUCGGGCUAGAGUGCGGAAGAGGCGAGUGGAAUUCCUGGUGUAGCGGUGAAAUGCGCAGAUAUCAGGAGGAACACCGGUGGCGAAGGCGGGAUCCUGGGCCAGUACCGACGCUGAGGAGCGAAAGCGUGGGGAGCAAACAGG
rnacentral:rRNA from 1 species